UCUAUCUUUCAAUCUACAAUGAUAGCAAUAGUCUAACUGUCAGACCUCCACCCUUCCUUCCUAUUUUUCUGUACAUAUACUCCGCCUAUUUCAGCAUUACACUAAGGAGCUUUCACUGAACUCCGUGUCUGUGUGACUUCUUCCUGAGCUCGGUAAUGAGAGGACUGACAGCAGCGUGGCUCCAAAAAUUUAACUCUGAGGCCGGUAUCAGCGAAAUCAUAACAAUUCUCAAAACAGCAGCUGUUCAUACUACCAAGAAUCCGGAAAGCUUCAAACCAUCGGUCCUGAACACUUACAAAGCACUGACUUGGAGACUCUUUCAAUGGAUUAUGGAACUGCUGAAUGUUUUUAGCCCUGGAUAAAAGAUUUUACCAUCAUGGCACUGGCAGCACUCCCAGGGCAGUGGGGAUGAGUCCAUGUGAUUUUCUUUUCCACAGCAAGCUAAACACCUUCUAUCCUCU